AGCAUGUUUUAUGACCUUAAAGAGUAGUGAUCUCAAGGUUACCUUGAAAGGGUUGCUUGCACUAAUACUUUCCAGAGGUUGCUGGUGGAAUUACGGUUUCCAAUAGAGUGCAUGCUACAGGCUGCGCGACAACCUUGUCAUGAAGGGCCAACGUCUGCGGUCGUUGCGCCGCCAGCCUCGAAAGCAGCCGUAUCACCGUGGCUUGCGUAUGAAGCUUUGAUAUGAGCUUUUUAAUAAGAGCUUUCUUGCUGCUUGCUGUGUUAGAAGGCGGCUAUGCUCACGCAUGGAGUGUGUCAUGUUCACCUCUCACGAGUUUGAUGUACGCGUUGUUGCGCGUGCGGGGAGCUUCACAGCCUACAGUGACGGAGCCAACUGUGAGUUUGUUCCAUGUAUUUGCUAUUUAAACGACGCCAAUCAUCAUUAUUAUAUUGAGCGGUUGGUUAGUUUGGAAUGCACCGCUCAC